UACGAAGGGUGCAAGCGUUACUCGGAAUUACUGGGCGUAAAGCGUGCGUAGGUGGUGAGUUAAGUCUGAUGUGAAAUCCCCGGGCUCAACCUGGGAAUGGCAUUGGAUACUGGCUCGCUAGAGUGCGGUAGAGGGUGGUGGAAUUCCACGUGUAGCAGUGAAAUGCGUAGAGAUGUGGAGGAACACCGAUGGCGAAGGCAGCCCCCUGGGCCAACACUGACGCUCAGGCACGAAAGCGUGGGGAGCAAACAGG
rnacentral:rRNA from 1 species